GAUUAAGUUAUUAAGGGCGCACGGUGGAUGCCUUGGCACUAGAAGCCGAUGAAGGACGUUACUAACGACGAUAUGCUUUGGGGAGCUGUAAGUAAGCUUUGAUCCAGAGAUUUCCGAAUGGGGAAACCCAGCAUGAGUUAUGUCAUGUUAUCGAUGUGUGAAUACAUAGCAUAUUAGAAGGCACACCCGGAGAACUGAAACAUCUUAGUACCCGGAGGAAGAGAAAGAAAAUUCGAUUCCCUUAGUAGCGGCGAGCGAAACGGGAAGAGCCCAAACCAACAAGCUUGCUUGUUGGGGUUGUAGGACACUCUAUACGGAGUUACAAAGGACGACAUUAGACGAAUCAUCUGGAAAGAUGAAUCAAAGAAGGUAAUAAUCCUGUAGUCGAAAAUGUUGUCUCUCUUGAGUGGAUCCUGAGUACGACGGAGCACGUGAAAUUCCGUCGGAAUCUGGGAGGACCAUCUCCUAAGGCUAAAUACUCUCUAGUGACCGAUAGUGAACCAGUACCGUGAGGGAAAGGUGAAAAGCACCCCGGAAGGGGAGUGAAAUAGAACCUGAAACCGUGUGCUUACAAGUAGUCAGAGCCCGUUAAUGGGUGAUGGCGUGCCUUUUGUAGAAUGAACCGGCGAGUUACGAUUUGAUGCAAGGUUAAGCAGUAAAUGUGGAGCCGUAGCGAAAGCGAGUCUGAAUAGGGCGUUUAGUAUUUGGUCGUAGACCCGAAACCAGGUGAUCUACCCUUGGUCAGGUUGAAGUUCAGGUAACACUGAAUGGAGGACCGAACCGACUUACGUUGAAAAGUGAGCGGAUGAACUGAGGGUAGCGGAGAAAUUCCAAUCGAACCUGGAGAUAGCUGGUUCUCUCCGAAAUAGCUUUAGGGCUAGCCUCAAGUGAUGAUUAUUGGAGGUAGAGCACUGUUUGGACGAGGGGCCCCUCUCGGGUUACCGAAUUCAGACAAACUCCGAAUGCCAAUUAAUUUAACUUGGGAGUCAGAACAUGGGUGAUAAGGUCCGUGUUCGAAAGGGAAACAGCCCAGACCACCAGCUAAGGUCCCAAAAUAUAUGUUAAGUGGAAAAGGAUGUGGCGUUGCCCAGACAACUAGGAUGUUGGCUUAGAAGCAGCCAUCAUUUAAAGAGUGCGUAAUAGCUCACUAGUCGAGUGACACUGCGCCGAAAAUGUACCGGGGCUAAACAUAUUACCGAAGCUGUGGAUUGUCCUUUGGACAAUGGUAGGAGAGCGUUCUAAGGGCGUUGAAGCAUGAUCGUAAGGACAUGUGGAGCGCUUAGAAGUGAGAAUGCCGGUGUGAGUAGCGAAAGACGGGUGAGAAUCCCGUCCACCGAUUGACUAAGGUUUCCAGAGGAAGGCUCGUCCGCUCUGGGUUAGUCGGGUCCUAAGCUGAGGCCGACAGGCGUAGGCGAUGGAUAACAGGUUGAUAUUCCUGUACCACCUAUAAUCGUUUUAAUCGAUGGGGGGACGCAGUAGGAUAGGCGAAGCGUGCGAUUGGAUUGCACGUCUAAGCAGUAAGGCUGAGUAUUAGGCAAAUCCGGUACUCGUUAAGGCUGAGCUGUGAUGGGGAGAAGACAUUGAGUCUUCGAGUCGUUGAUUUCACACUGCCGAGAAAAGCCUCUAGAUAGAAAAUAGGUGCCCGUACCGCAAACCGACACAGGUAGUCAAGAUGAGAAUUCUAAGGUGAGCGAGCGAACUCUCGUUAAGGAACUCGGCAAAAUGACCCCGUAACUUCGGGAGAAGGGGUGCUCUUUAGGGUUAACGCCCAGAAGAGCCGCAGUGAAUAGGCCCAAGCGACUGUUUAUCAAAAACACAGGUCUCUGCUAAACCGUAAGGUGAUGUAUAGGGGCUGACGCCUGCCCGGUGCUGGAAGGUUAAGAGGAGUGGUUAGCUUCUGCGAAGCUACGAAUCGAAGCCCCAGUAAACGGCGGCCGUAACUAUAACGGUCCUAAGGUAGCGAAAUUCCUUGUCGGGUAAGUUCCGACCCGCACGAAAGGCGUAACGAUUUGGGCACUGUCUCAACGAGAGACUCGGUGAAAUCAUAGUACCUGUGAAGAUGCAGGUUACCCGCGACAGGACGGAAAGACCCCGUGGAGCUUUACUGUAGCCUGAUAUUGAAAUUCGGCACAGCUUGUACAGGAUAGGUAGGAGCCUUUGAAACGUGAGCGCUAGCUUACGUGGAGGCGCUGGUGGGAUACUACCCUAGCUGUGUUGGCUUUCUAACCCACACCACUUAUCGUGGUGGGAGACAGUGUCAGGCGGGCAGUUUGACUGGGGCGGUCGCCUCCUAAAAGGUAACGGAGGCGCUCAAAGGUUCCCUCAGAAUGGUUGGAAAUCAUUCAUAGAGUGUAAAGGCAUAAGGGAGCUUGACUGCGAGACCUACAAGUCGAGCAGGGUCGAAAGACGGACUUAGUGAUCCGGUGGUUCCGCAUGGAAGGGCCAUCGCUCAACGGAUAAAAGCUACCCCGGGGAUAACAGGCUUAUCUCCCCCAAGAGUUCACAUCGACGGGGAGGUUUGGCACCUCGAUGUCGGCUCAUCGCAUCCUGGGGCUGUAGUCGGUCCCAAGGGUUGGGCUGUUCGCCCAUUAAAGCGGUACGCGAGCUGGGUUCAGAACGUCGUGAGACAGUUCGGUCCCUAUCCGUCGUGGGCGUAGGAAAUUUGAGAGGAGCUGUCCUUAGUACGAGAGGACCGGGAUGGACAUACCUCUGGUGUACCAGUUGUCGUGCCAACGGCAUAGCUGGGUAGCUAUGUGUGGACGGGAUAAGUGCUGAAAGCAUCUAAGCAUGAAGCCCCCCUCAAGAUGAGAUUUCCCAACUUCGGUUAUAAGAUCCCUCAAAGAUGAUGAGGUUAAUAGGUUCGAGGUGGAAGCAUGGUGACAUGUGGAGCUGACGAAUACUAAUCGAUCGAAGACUUAAUCAA
rnacentral:rRNA from 1 species